AGAGGGGGUCCAGGGGGGAGAACUUCGUAGCAGUCAUCCUUUUUAGGAAAAGAGGGAAAAAAUAAAACCCUCCCCCACCACCUCCUUCUCCCCACCCCUCGCCGCACCACACACAGCGCGGGCUUCUCGCGCUCGGCACCGGCGGGCCGGGUGCGUCCAGCCUUCAUUUAUCAAGCAGCUUUUCGGAAAAUGCAUUUGCUGUUCGGAGUUUAAUCAGAAGAGGAUUCUUGUCCCCGUCCCCGGCUCGUCCACCGGCCCCCGGUCCCUGUCUCUCUCCCGUGGAGGCGUGAAGCGGCCCCGCGGGUAGAAAUCCAUGUCCGUGCCCGCGCGUGUGUGUGCGUGUGUAAAUUGCCGAGAGGGGAAAAAUCACAGGACUUCUGCAAAUCCCGGACUGAAAAUUGUAAUUCAUCUGCCGCCGCCGCUGCCUUUCUUUUCUCGUGCUCUUGAGAUCUCUGGUUGGGAUUCCUACGGAUUGACAUUUCUGUAAAGGAGAAGUCUGGGAAUCAAACUGGAAAUUCUCCUAAUUUUUACACCUCCUCCCCCAGCUCCUGAUUCAUUUGGAAGUUUCAAAGCAGCUAUAACUGGAGAGUUCUGAAGAUUGAUGGAAUCUUUGCCUUAUGCAUUUGUUUUGUUUUCACAAAAAGGAAACUUGACAGAGGAUCAUGCUGUCCUUAAAAAAUACAAGUAAGUUCUUUGCACAGAAAAUUGGCUUAAUGUAACUUUCAAUGGAAACAUUUGAGAUUUUAACUUUUAAGUGCAUUCGAGUAAGUUUAAUUUCCAGGCAGUUUAAUACAUUCUUUUCAGCUGUGUAACUUGUAGUGUGUUAAGCCCUGCUUUCACCCAGUGUAUAAAGGGAAAUGCACCUGAUUUUGACUGAUUAGUUUUUUUAACCUUUCAGCAUCACGGGGGAAGUAGACUGAUAUUAACAAUAAUUAAUAAUGUGCCUCAUGAACUAAAGAUCCGAAAGGAAUUUAAAUAAAAAUUUCCUGCAUCUCAUGCCAAGAGGGAAACACCAGAAUCAAGUGUUCCGCGUGACUGAAGACACCCCCUCAACCAAGAAUGCAAAGCACAUCCAAUAAAAUAGCUGGAUUAUAACUAUUCUCUCUUUCGGGGCCGUGGGGUGGGAAGCGGGGGCGAGAGGUGCUGUUGGUACCCGGCUGCUUUUUCUCUGGGAAAGGAUGGCGCACGCUGGGAGAACAGGGUAUGAUAACCGGGAAAUAGUGAUGAAGUACAUCCACUAUAAGCUGUCGCAGAGGGGCUACGAGUGGGAUGCCGGAGACGCGGGCGCCGCGUCCCCGGGGGCCGCUCCCGCACCGGGCAUCUUCUCAUCCCAGCCCGGGCGAACCCCCGCUCCCGCCAGGACCUCGCCGCCGCCGACCCCGACCGCCCCCGCCGCCCCCGCCGCCGCCGCCGCCGCCGCGGGGCCUGUACUCAGCCCGGUGCCACCUGUGGUCCACCUGACCCUGCGCCAGGCCGGCGAUGACUUCUCUCGUCGCUACCGCCGCGACUUUGCCGAGAUGUCCAGCCAGCUGCACCUGACUCCCUUCACCGCGAGGGGACGCUUUGCCACGGUGGUGGAGGAGCUCUUCAGGGAUGGGGUGAACUGGGGGAGGAUUGUGGCCUUCUUUGAGUUCGGUGGGGUCAUGUGUGUGGAGAGCGUCAACCGGGAGAUGUCGCCCCUGGUGGACAACAUCGCCCUGUGGAUGACUGAGUACCUGAACCGGCACCUGCACACCUGGAUCCAGGAUAACGGAGGCUGGAAUUCACAUCAUUUUGGGUCUUCUCUGCUGGAAAAACGUGAAUCUACAGUAUCUAUAUAAAGCAUAGAAGAAUUGAUUCUUAGCUAUGGAUUCCUGUGCUCUGACUUUAGUUGAAGUGAUUAAUGCCUGUAUCUUUGAAGAACAUGUGUAUAGCGGUAACCUUGCGAGCUGGUCACCCUUUCCCCCAGCUAUACACAGGAGACCACUCAGAGAACUGACUCCACUACGAAGCUUCUUUUUCAUUCCUCUUGGUUUGAUUCAAACCAAAUCAGUGCUUGACCUCACAACAGGAUUAACGAUGAAAGUCAGCCAAGGACUGAGACAGUAAUUCAACCAAUGUGAUUGCAAGUCUUCUGUGUGCCCAGCCCUGGGUUAGGUUGGGGGUCAGGGAGAAACGCUCCCCCCCUCUCCAGCCCUGGAUACUCUCAUAGGCUGAUGCUAGAGAUGUCCACGUGAACUCAGAGUUGCCACGCAACCUGGUAAGCGUGAUUUUAAACUCUCAGAUUUAGAGGGAAAAAGAAAAAAAAAAAAUAAAAUAAAAAACUUAAGUAUGUGCUAUUUUGCAUAAACUUCCAUCUUUGUCUGAAAAAGUUAUUUCUAACCAUAUGGCUCUUCAUGUGUGUAUUAGGCCUGAUUUAACUAGGAGGAGAAAUAGUUUUUUAAAAAGACUGUGUUACACGGACAUACACUUAAGAGAACCGAAAGGCAGGGGGAGUUCCCUUGUUAAAUAUUUACCCUUUGGACACUCCUUAUACAUAUUACGAAGACUUAAUAAACACUAAUCUUCAGUUUUUCAAGUAUUUCAUUAAUUGUUUCAGUAGAAGACAAUCAAGGCUCUGAUUAGGAUGAGUAGAAUAGAUUGCUUUGAAGAAAUAUCUUUCUUAAAUCCUUCUGGAAUGCAGAAAAAUACGAGUUGAUCUGAACCAGAACAGAGGAGAGAGGAAAAAACAAAGCUUUUGUUUUGGUUUGGUUUUAGGUUCUAGUAGUGUUCUGUUUAUUAAGAGGCUUCUCUUCCAAAAUGCAACUCAUAGAAAUUCCCAGCUCACUGGGACGUGCGUGUUCCCGAAGUGCAGGUGUUUACUGUCUAACUUCUUUUAUUCGUGGGCCCCUUCUUUAACUGGAGGUUGUAGAACUUUUGAAAUCACAACAUAGCUGUUUUCAUUUUUUUAAGUAUUUUUUGGUAGAUCGCCACUUGUUCUGAUCUGUGCUCACCUCUCUAGUGCCAGCAUGAUUUCUCUGCUCUUUAUUUGCCAGACAAAAGAGAAACCCAGCUGUCUUUCAGUGAGCAUGAUGCUGGAAUGAUUGUUUCUAUCUCUCCAAAGCUAUGUAGAAUUUCUCAUCAGGACCACUCCCACCCCCCACCAGGGUCCCCCACCUGCCUAUCAUCCCAGCACAGGGAGACCUCCAAGGGGGAGCUCCUUGAUACUCACCAACACGAGUAAGGUAGGACUGUGUCUACGCAAGAGCGUUGUGUCUAGGUAACCAGCAAGAGGGAGCAGAGAAGGGGUGGGUCAGAGCUAGAAUAUUAUGACCCCUACUCCAGUCUUACUACAGGCAGCCGGUCAAGGAAAAAUUCUGUCGUCAGAUCUGAUGCUUUCCUUCCAGAGCUCAUAAAUUCCAGCCCUAUGCAGGGGAUAAGAUAGAAUCUGCUAGAAGAAUUUGUACUAGCUCUGGUCUGUGCAGUGUUAGAGGCGAGUGAGGGUUAUGCUCUAGCCUUAGAUAAAGUUUGACUAACUAAACUUAACUAAAAUCACUUAUACUAAAGACUGCUUUCCCAAAUGCCCUCUUAAACACGGUAGAAAGGGAAUGUCCCUGACCUGCUGGGGUGGCCCUUUGUAGCAGUGCACCAAGAGCUCCUUGGAUGAUUUUCUUACGUGAUUGGCUAGAUUCUACGAGAAAGUUCGCUGGUAUUUCCAUUCUGCUCCUUGUUUUGCCUUCAGACUUUCAGGGAUGGAGCCAUAUUCCAUUUUUAGUUAAUAAUGAACUCUCUGGGGCUUCAACAUAAUGAGUCAGAGGCUUAUGCCGGACUCCACUCUCCUCUUUACUGAGUCUCCUGAAAGCAACCCAAGGACCCACAGUGUCAAGUGAAGCUUACAUUUUCCGAAGGAGAUUUCACCAUUGAGACCAAUACUUCUUUCUUGUGAUGGUUCGAAUUACUACAUUUUUUUCUGUUUUUAACUGUCUUGUCUUAAGCUGCGAAAGAAUAUGGGGAGUUUAUGACUUGGGGAAUGCUUGGAGGACCAGACAAAGUGUCAGUGUUGCAGGGUCUCUCUUCUUGAUUUUAUCCGACUCUUCCUCACCAGCACUAAAGGUUUCUUCUGCUUUUACAGAACAAUGAAUGUCAUAUUCAUGUAUUGCCUUUGAAACUGAAUUGCAGCCAGAUAUUCCACUCAGCUGCAUUAGAAUUUUCAAAGCGAAAAUACUUAGUCCUCUUAAUUCAAUGCCUUCUGACAGUUAGGGUAGGAAAAAAUUAAUUACAAAUUAUAUCACCAUCUUUAGAUAUUGAUUUUUUUAUCUCUUGGGGAAAAAAAGCAAGUCCAUAAAGGAUGCCAGGUGGCACCUCUAAGUCUAAAUUUUUAGGACUACGUCCUAGCCAUUCUCUUUAUGAAUUCCUGCUGGCAUUUCUCUCUCUCUCUCUCCCUUUCUCUUUCUCUCUCUCUUUCUCUCUAACACUUAAAACUUUUAAAGGCAGUUUUGAGCUAUUUUUAACAAAAUUUUAAGUAUAGUGAGGCAGAACCACUUACUAAAUAUUAAAGUGACUGUAUAAGAAGAAAACAAUGGGAAGAGGUCUUAAGGAAGACGAGCAAUUGUUCACUAAUCUUAACUCCGAGUUCCUAGCAACCAGGGCAGUGGUGGGAGAAUAAAGAUCUUGUUAUUUUGUAGCGCAUGCACCCUACCCUUUUCCAUUGAAAAAACAUUUAUUGGGGGUCUACCAUGUACGGAGUUCUGUGCCAGGUGUUUCACCUGUGGAAGAUAACCUCUGCCUCUAAGGAAUUAGCCAACCAGUAGUGAGACUGAGAUGUGUAAAUUGCUGUGAUCCUUGACACACUUUAGUGGGAGGAACCAUCUGGUCCAGCUGGAAGAAGGGGAUCUGGAUGAGUUUUGGUGGGAGAUACGGAGAGGGCAUUUCAGGUAGCUGGACGGGCCUGGAGGAGUCAGAGCAGGCAGGAAUGUGUGAGGCGUCCCUGGGGACUUGGAAAGAGUCUGACGAGAUUGGGGCAUGGAGAUUUCUUGUGAGAAAAGACUGGAUCAUAAGUUGAGAGGUCUGUGUUGAAUUUGGUCGAUGUUAAUAGGUUCUUGAAAGGGUUCUGAGACAAGGUGGGGUAUGUGGGCUGGUGGAAGAUUGACAGUGGCUGAGGUUGGAUAGUGGGAGACCAAGGAAGAGGUUUGGACCAGGGCAGGGGAGUGGGGAUGUGGACCCCAAGGACUGACAACAGAUUGAACAUGGGAAAUGAGGGAGGGAAAGAAGCAAAGAAUGCAAAUUCCAAACCCAGGAUAAGAAAAAUGACCGUUUUGUGGGGUAAAUGUGAUGAAAUUCAUUUUGGACAUUUUCAUCUUGAGCUUCCCAUAGGCUAUCCAUUGGAAAUGCCCAGGAGCAGUUGGUCUUCAGGAUCUAGACCUGGAGAGAGACAUUGGGGCUGGAAUACACCCUGCUUUUCCCCCAAACCCUGUCAACUCCCCCCUUUUCUUCUUUUGUUUCCAAAAAUGGUCCUAGCUGCUGCUGCUGAUUCUGCCUUCUUUUAUUAACCACUCUUUCUACACCACCUUUCCCCCAAAGACCUCUGUAGAGGUCUGUGGAUUGAAUUAAGGUGAUUAACUUGAAGUUUUACUGUUCAAAGCUUGGCUCCCCACUACCAGUUUGCCUACUUAAAGAUAACUCAACUGGAGUUAGAUUACUGUUGUUUCAACAUCCUAGUGGUGUCUUCCCUUUGCAGAUUCUUAGACAGUCCAGGAGUUCUCCUGCACUGGUACUUGCUGACUUAAUAGCAGUUCUCCUAGUAUAUUGAACCCGCACCUAGCAUGGUAGAUAGUAGGUGCACACAAUGAUUGUUGAUUGAAUAAAUGAAUUAAUAAAAGUGAUUAGGAUAGAGGCCCUUUGGACAUCAGACUCAUCCUCAUCAACUAGUGUGCCUCUCCACUUAUUAUAUAGAGUAUAUAUGUUCCACUCUCUAAUGUUCCACUGUAGGGACAUAUGUGUUCCCACUGACCCAUCCUAUGGAUUCUGUUAAUAUUCCGUAGAAGUGGACAAAGAAAACUACCUCAAUGUUUUGAUUUCAUCCUUUAUCAUUGAAUUGAAAAAGUAAGUCAUUCAUACCUGAAAAGAAAUCUUCUAGAUUUUGCUUGAUCUUAAACAUUCAACUUUAAUGAAAGUCCUCACUACUAAUAUGAGAGAUUAGCACAUCACUGAUCACAUUGUAUCUGUUUGUACAAAAGAUACACGCACACAGUCAGACAUAUAUGUGCAUACUUGCUCUCAUUUCUCGGGUUUUGUGUCUCCAGCCCUGUUCAGAUAGUCAGAGCCUUGUCAUCUAAGCUUCUUCACUACCUCAUCCUGAAAGAAAGCAGGGCUUGUCCAUGGUUCUCACAGUGGGGGACAGAGUGGCUUUUCCUCUGUUAUUAGUAUUGUAGCUCAAAUAUAAAAGAACUAUAGCAUACAAGUCACAAGGAUAAAUGGUCCCCUAGUUCUCCUCCCCUAAAAACAAGUAGCCAAUUGGAGAUGGGGGUCAGUAUAACUCAGUAUGUCCAGAGCAGAGGAUGCUGGGAUUUUAUUUCUCCAUACACUGGCCAAUGGGAAGAUUACUAGGAGUGGUAUGGAGCAAACCACUGGGCUGACAGGUUUGGGCUCCAUCCUCUGUUCUGGUUGAAGCAAGCAUCACAGCCUUUCUGUGGUUUUUAAGAACUGGUGGAAUUUGCAUUUUGAGAAUCCUUAUUCCUUGGCAUGAAGCAAACUCAAAAGCAUCGUUGCUCAUCAUUUGUCAUCUGUUUGAAAAAGAUUCUGUGAUUUGUGCACUUGUCAUGAAGCUUGACCAUACUUCUGGGGCUUACAGAUGUGAGUCCCUGUGAAAGAAACCACAAGCAAAUUCUCUUUUCUCCCCUAUCUUUACUUCUUCCCUCUCGUUUCUUCAAUGGCCAUCUGUGCAUUAUGUUACCACUGCCAGACCCUCUUCAAGUGGCUUAUCUAUGAGUGAAUUCAGAAACUUCAAAUUAUAAAGGACACCCAGAUAAUUGGCCCGUUCUCCAGAGUAUCUGUCCCCUGUGCUGCUGCCAGAUUCCUUCUUAAUGAAUACAUCCAGUGACAGUGGGAUUCUUGAUCCUCCGGAUCCGUGAGAAAAUGAGCUUCCCUGCUUUGUAACAGCUUGUGGCUCUGGGGGAAAAAAAAUGACAGCCAUUGCACAAGUUUCCUUUGAAUGUAGUUUUCUUUCCCAUAAAUGAUACUUUGAGACUACACUUAAGGGGUUAUUAGUUUUCUAUUUCAUGCUUGGCCUGUGUGUGAUAAUAACACAAGCUGUCACUGCAAAUCAGCAGCUAAACACGCUCUGUCUGGUUAAUGCAAGCAUUUCAUAUUUGGCUCAAUUAAAAAUUAACUGAUGAAAGUACAUGUCAAAUGGAAUUUGAAAAUACCUUUUGUAGGGAAGAUUGAAAGGGCAUGGCCAAUGAGUAAAUUAGUGGUUUUCAAAUGUGAGGGUUUGGGGGACAUUUAAUACAGGUUGGGACACUUGACUCUUCUCUCAAACCUCUCUACCUGUUUGAAAAGGAUGUUCCCAUCCAUAUCAUGAAGGGCUCGAUUGCUUCUGUGUGUUUACUGGAAAAUAAUCGUUGUGUGUGUGUGUGUGUUUGCAUGCGUGCUUGCUGGAUCAUACAGUUAAAGCAGAUAGAACAGGGGAUGGGGGACUCCUCUAUCUCACACUUUGUUUUGUUUUGUUUUUUUCCAUUGGCAGCAUGCUAUGGGCCAAUGUGGGGAGGUAUGAGCUGGCUUAGAGUCUGCAAGCUGGAGAUCAUGAAACAGCAGCUGCAGGAGAGCCUGGGGGAAACGCAACCACAGUAGGGGCAUUUAUUGGAGUUGGGGAAGUCUUCCCAGGAAAGGGAGCUGAAGCCUGGAAGCUGAGCCGAAAGUAACCUAGGGCUGUGGGAAGAAGGAGCAGAGUGUGGCCAGCAGACAGAACAUGGAGAAGAGGGACCGGGGGCUCCAGAGCAUGUGGGGAGUUAAAGGAACAGAGGAGUCCAGCCUGGCUGGAGUGAGGGGUACAAGUGGGGUGGAUUAGAAAGGUGGCCAAUAGAGUUGUACCACUGUGUGUAUGGGGGGGGGGGUUAUUUUAGAGAGGCCCCUCUCUAUUUACUCAGCUAGACAGGUGAUAUUAGUGACAGGUAGGAUGCUAGCUCAGUAAAGGUGAUGUGUGAUCUCAGUACCCAGACCAGGGAUUGAACUCCAGGCUGUUUCAGUGAAAGCACUGUAAUCCUAACCACUAGACCACCAGGGAACUCCCAAGAAAUUGAUAGUUUUGUGCAAUAAUCAGGACUGGAAAGGAGAGAUUUCUGGGAAGAUGUAGUGAUUGACUGAAUGCUUUCAAAUCUUGCUCAUUUCUUUUUCAGUUACAGUGGUCUUUUUUUCUGUAGCCACUUUGAAAAGAAUAUGUUUGGUCAUUGUUCUGGUUAUAUACAAAAUUUUUUUUUAAGUUUCCCAUUCUCUUAAAUUAACACAGCCUGACUGAAAACUUGAUUUUGUUGGAAUUCACAUUGCAAUAAAUCUUCAUUAACAACCAGUUAAUGAAGAUUUAUUUGAAGAAAGAACUCAACUAUGAAAGACAAUUUUCACAGAGUUUUUUCCUAGGUUAAAAAAAAUUGCAGCAGUGGUGUCUUGUUUUGAUGAAGGAUUUUAAAGUUUCCGAAGGAAUUCUGGAUCUUUUGACCCAUUUGAUUUUCAGAAAACUCUAGGCAAGGCAGGUAUUAUAUUCCCACUUCUCUCUGGCUUCCUCUUCCCACACCCUUUUUGUUAUUUGUUUAUCCCCAUGUGAAGAGAAAACCUAGACUAACAAAGCCACAUGAGAGCCAGUAAGUCAAGAGGAGCGGGUGUUUCAGUGCCAGACUCGGAGUCCGGGAGAUAUUUCUUAAUGCUGUGCUCCUUCUUGGGGCAUGUUUUCAUAAGGACACUAGAUUCCUCAAUAGAAACCUAAUCAAGUUUAUGCCUAAUUUUAAAAAAUAAUAUCCCUAACUGCUUUUUAUCGCAAAGAUUUUCAGGAAAAUUAAAAUGUAAUCUUGCAUUUCAGGUUACUUUCUCUCCUUUGGUUUAGCUUUUGAAAUGUGUUUCAUCUUAAUGGUGGAGGGACAUCUAACUUCGCCUUAUGAUGCACGUGGAUGUGACUGUGAAUUGAUCAAACUGGGCACACUUGACCUUGAAACUCCUUCUAAGAGGACGGUAGUGUCCUGGGUAAGAGAGUUUGCUAAAACUCAUGUGAGGGUUCUGGAAAACAGCUCCUUUCAGCAGGGGUCAAGUGGAAUUAUAUAAACAUAAAUGGCUGUUUCUGCCUAGGAAUCUGUGUUUUUAUUUACUUUAAAAAUUGGAACUCUGGGAGUUCCCUGGUGGCACAGCAGGUUAAGGAUCCCAUGUUGUCACUGCUGUGGUUGGCGUUCCACCCCUGGCUCAGAAACUUCCACAUGCCUCAAGCAUGAUCCAAAAGAAAAACUGAGCUCCUGUCUUUAGGUAUCCAAUAUAAAUUUGGUGAGUGAAGUGUUUUUUGAACUGAAAAAAUGGUGGCGCUUUCAUCUGUAGGAUUUCCCCAGUGUCUAAAGGACAUAUGGGUAUACAUUUGUUCAACUUUGUUCAUUCAACAGAUAAUUGUAAGAGUGCUGGAGCUAUGGCAGAAACAUGACAGCCAUGAACUGUCUCUUGUACCUCUCGUGAAUCCAACAUUGUGGAGAAAUCAGAACAGUAAACAGGCAAAUAAUUAACAAUAUAAUAUAGGGGCUACAACAUAAUAAAAACAAGGGAAUUCAAUACAGGAGUGCUGAUGGGGCAGUAUUAACGUCUUACAUUCGUUUUUUAAAAUUAUAGUUGAUUUAUGAUGUCGUGCCAAUUUCUGCUGUACAGCAAAGUGACCCAGUCAUACAUAUGCAUACAUUCCCUUUCUUAUAUU